rnacentral:rRNA from 1 species
GAGGGAGGAGGCAAGCGUUAUCCGGAAUUAUUGGGCGUAAAGGGUACGUAGGCGGCUGGUCAAGUCUGGGGUUAAAGGCCACAGCUCACCUGUGGGAAGGCCCUGGAAACUGACCGGCUAGAGUGAGGUAGGGGUUGCGGGAAUUCCCGGUGUAGCGGUGAAAUGCGUAGAGAUCGGGAAGAACACCUGAGGCGGAAGCGCGCAACUGGGCCUCAACUGACGCUGAGGUACGAAAGCUAGGGGAGCGAAUGGG